rnacentral:rRNA from 1 species
GACGAACGCUGGCGGCGUGCCUAACACAUGCAAGUGGAGCGACGAACCAGGGCUUGCCCUGGAGCAAAGCCGCGAACGGGUGAGUAACACGUGGGUAACCUGCCCCGAUGACCGGGACAA